UAUAUAUAGGUGUGUGAUGCACAAUAGUUUUUGAAAUUAUUAGGUUUAGUUUAAAUCUAAAAUAUAUAA
rnacentral:tRNA from 1 species